AACGAACGCUGGCGGCAGGCUUAACACAUGCAAGUCGAGCGCCCCGCAAGGGGAGCGGCAGACGGGUGAGUAACGCGUGGGAAUCUACCGUGCCCUACGGAAUAACGCAUGGAAACGUGUGCUAAUACCGUAUACGCCCUACGGGGGAAAGAUUUAUCGGGGUAUGAUGAGCCCGCGUUGGAUUAGCUAGUUGGUGGGGUAAAGGCCUACCAAGGCGACGAUCCAUAGCUGGUCUGAGAGGAUGAUCAGCCACAUUGGGAAUGAGACGCGGCCCAACCUCCUACGGGAGGCAGCAGUGGGGAAUAUUGGACAAUGGGCGCAAGCCUGAUCCAGCCAUGCCGCGUGAGUGAUGAAGGUCUUAGGAUUGUAAAGCUCUUUCACCGGUGAAGAUAAUGACGGUAACCGGAGAAGAAGCCCCGGCUAACUUCGUGCCAGCAGCCGCCGUAAAAC
rnacentral:rRNA from 1 species